rnacentral:rRNA from 1 species
AACGAACGCUGGCGGCAUGCCUAACACAUGCAAGUCGAACGAGACCUUCGGGUCUAGUGGCGCACGGGUGCGUAACGCGUGGGAACCUGCCCUUAGGUUCGGAAUAACUCCCCGAAAGGGGUGCUAAUACCGGAUAAUGUCUUCGGCCCAAAGAUUUAUCGCCUUUGGUUGGGCCCGCGUUGGAUUAGCUAGUUGGUAGGGUAAAAGCCUACCAAGGCGACGAUCCAUAGCUGGUCUGAGAGGAUGAUCAGCCACACUGGGACUGAGACACGGCCCAGACUCCUACGGGAGGCAGCAGUGGGGAAUAUUGGACAAUGGGCGAAAGCAUGAUCCAGCAAUGCCGCGUGAGUGAUGAAGGCCUUAGGGUUGUAAAGCUCUUUUAACCGGGAUGAUAAUGACAGUACCGGGAGAAUAAGCGCCGGCUAACUCCGUG